AGUUUCCGAUUUGCCACCUUCGACCCCUUAGCGAACAUUUCGCGUUUCCCGAAAAUCCGUCCAUCGGAUUUUCGAUCCGACAGCGCCAUCGCGUUCAGCACGACGGAGACAACAAAGCUGUGAUUUCGCUUCACCUCGAUCAACCACGGAUUCACGACACAAUCCAAUCUUCUUUCCAACAUAAGAAAAUAACACCUAAAUACAUAUAAAACAUGUAUUUUUGGAUUUUCUCGAAAUCCGUGCGUCAAACUCAAAAUCCAACAGCGCCAAUGGUUCCAGAAUAGCUGAACCGGUCGAAACGAGCUAUUGGAUCGCUAUGAACGGAGUCCGAUACGCGUAGAAAGCCAACUCUACUCCGUGGCUUCACCGAAAAACCGGAGUUACUAUUCACUUAAGUGAAAUUUAAAAAUCGCGUAACUUCUCCAUUUUAGCUCAUUUUCUCCUGAAACUUGACGAGUGCUUAUGUAAUUAAAUUACACACAUAAACAUCGUCAACAGAGAGUUUAGUUGCACUGUAAAAAUCUCAGUCCUUACAUUAACUUACUUAUUUUUGAACUCCAAUAUUUCUGAUAUAUCAGUAUUGAUCAUCAUCUUGGUUGCAUAAAGAAAAUUUGAUAUACUACGUGUACCUAUGUUGCCCAUAGAUAUACAAUAAUUAAUAUAAUUACUAAGAAUAUAAAUAAUAUCCAAAAUUUGAAUAAAUGAGAUACCUGCAAAGUCUUUUAUCUUGCACCAUUGCAUUAUAAUUAUGACCGGCCUUCAUCCCCUACUUGUUUAUAAGUAUGAAGUUCUUCAGCAAACUUUCCCCACAAUGUGCAAC
rnacentral:lncRNA from 1 species